UACGAAGGGUGCAAGCGUUACUCGGAAUUACUGGGCGUAAAGGGCGCGUAGGCGGCACUGUUAGUCAGGCGUGAAAGUCCUGGGCUCAACCUGGGAACUGCGCUUGAUACGGCAGAGCUAGAGGAUGGAAGAGGCUCGCGGAAUUCCCAGUGUAGAGGUGAAAUUCGUAGAUAUUGGGAAGAACACCGGUGGCGAAGGCGGCGAGCUGGUCCAUUACUGACGCUGAGGCGCGACAGCGUGGGGAGCAAACAGG
rnacentral:rRNA from 1 species